UACGAAGGGGGCUAGCGUUGUUCGGAAUUACUGGGCGUAAAGGGCGCGUAGGCUGUGCUGUAAGUCAGGCGUGAAAGCCCCGGGCUCAACCUGGGAAUUGCGCUUGAUACUGCGGCGCUGGAAGGUGGGAGAGGAUGGCGGAAUUCCCAGUGUAGAGGUGAAAUUCGUAGAUAUCGGGAGGAACACCUGUGGCGAAGGCGGCCCCCUGGUUGGAUACUGACGCUGAUACGCGAAAGCGUGGGGAGCAAACAGG
rnacentral:rRNA from 1 species